GGGCCCAUAGCUCAGUCGGUUAGAGCAUCUGACUCAUAAUCAGAGGGUCCAAGGUUCGAAUCCUUGUGGGCCCAC
rnacentral:tRNA from 1 species